rnacentral:rRNA from 2 species
UGGGGGAUAUUGCACAAUGGGCGAAAGCCUGAUGCAGCGACGCCGCGUGGGGGAUGAAGGCUUUCGGGUUGUAAACCUCUUUCGCUAUCGAACAAGGCCCGCUUAGGGUGGGUUGAGGGUAGGUGGAGAAGAAGCGCCGGCUAACUACGUGCCAGCAGCCGCGGUAAUACGUAGGGCGCGAGCGUUGUCCGGAAUUAUUGGGCGUAAAGGGCUUGUAGGCGGCUUGUUGCGCCUGCUGUGAAAACGCGGGGCUUAACUUCGCGCGUGCAGUGGGUACGGGCAGGCUUGAGUGUGGUAGGGGUGACUGGAAUUCCAGGUGUAGCGGUGGAAUGCGCAGAUAUCUGGAGGAACACCGGUGGCGAAGGCAGGUCACUGGGCCAUUACUGACGCUGAGGAGCGAAAGCAUGGGUAGCGAACAGG